rnacentral:rRNA from 1 species
GACGAACGCUGGCAGCGUGCUUAACACAUGCAAGUCGAACGGAAAGGCGCUGCUGUUGUGUGGUGCUCGUGUGGCGAACGGGUGUGUAACACGUGAGUAACCUGCCCUGGACUUUGGGAUAACUGCAGGAAACUUGGGCAGAUAGCGGAUAGUAGCGCCUCUUGAAGGGUGUGGGUUGGAAAGUUUCGGCGGUGGGGGAUGGAGUCGCGGCUUAUCAACUUGUUGUUGGGGUAGUGGCUUACAACGGCUUUGAGGGGUAGCCGGCCUGAGAGGGUGAGCGGGGACAUUGGGAGAGAGAGACGGCGCAGAUACCUACGGGAGGGAGAAGUGUGGAAUAUUGCAGAAUGGGCGGACGACUGAUGCAGCAACGCUGCGUGCGGGAUAACGGCCUUCGGGUUGUAAACCGCUUUCGCAGGUGACGAAGCGUGAGUGACGGUAAUGGGUAAAGAAGCACCGGCUAACUACGUG